rnacentral:piRNA from 1 species
UCAAAAUAGGUGAUGGGCAGAGCCUGAACU